AUUGAACGCUGGCGGUAUGCUUAACACAUGCAAGUCGAACGAUGAGAAAGAGCUUGCUCUUUCGAUUAGUGGCGGACGGGUGCGUAACGCGUAGGAAUCUACCUAUUAGUGGGGGACAAAUUGGGGAAACUUAGGCUAAUACCGCUUACGCCCUACGGGGAAAAGAAGGGGAUCGCAAGACCUCUUGCUAAUAGGUGAGCCGGCGUAGGAUUAGCUAGUUGGUGGGGUAAAAGCUCACCAAGGCGACGAUCCUUAACUGGUUUGAGAGAAUGAUCAGUCACACUGGAACUGAGACACGGUCCAGACUCCUACGGGAGGCAGCAGUGGGGAAUAUUGGACAAUGGGCGAAAGCCUGAUCCAGCAAUACCGCGUGUGUGAAGAAGGCCUUAGGGUUGUAAAGCACUUCCAAUUGGAAGGAAAACCUCGAAGCUAAUACCUUCGAGUUUGACAUUACCUUUAGAAGAAGCACCGGCUAACUCCGUGCCAGCAGCCGCCGUAAGAC
rnacentral:rRNA from 1 species